GGAUGCAUGGCAGUGCGACAUAUGUGGUUCUAAAUCUGGAAGGGGAUUUGAGGCAACUUUUGAAGUGCUCCCUAGACUUAAUGACAUCAAAUUUGGUAGUGGAGUAAUUGACGAACUUCUCUUUUUGGAGUUGCCACGCGAACAAAGAUUUCCUUAUGUUAAAAUUUUUGGAAAGCAACGAGGGUGAUCCUGAGUUACUUGUUUUCAUUCCAUUUACUUCAGAUGUCAAAAUUAAAAGCAUAUCCAUAGUAGGCGGAGCUAAUGGGACAAGUCCUGCUAAAAUGAGAGCGUAGUCCGCAAAAACGAUCCUUUAGGAAGAGAUGUUGAACUCUUUCGUCGGCAUUAUUACGCUCCAGGUCAAGUUGGUCCAGCCUCUAUGGGUAUACUCCUGCUGACUGAUUGAAAGUAGCGUUUUUGUCUAAUGGUUUAUUUGUCGAGGAGAUGUAUUUGUCAGUGGCUCUGAGCAAGUCACCAUCAUGCAAUCUAAAAGGAAUAGGAUCAAUAUAAAAUCUUGUUUGUUUAAAUUGUUGAAAAUGAAGGAACUAGUAGUGUCAAUGAGUAAUGUAAAUAGUUAUAGUUCUGUCAAUAGUUUAUUUUUUUGGGUACCUUUUUAUGAUAGACAGAUA